GCCGCCGCCUGAAGCUCUCGCCGUCGAGUCCCCCCCUCCGCCUGCGACUGCCGGGCGGACAAGCUUCCUUAAACCCAGGAGUCCAGCCAAGCGUGGACCUCUUUCAAAUAUGGCAACGUGUUGCAGCUACCACUGCUACAUGUGUUGUUCUUCUGAUCCCAAAAAGCAACACUGCUUCUCGAGAAGCACGUAAUCCAUCAAAGUGUCUGUCAUUUGGCUUCUCAGGUUGGCCGUGCCCAGCUGUCCUUCAGACCCCCUUUUUUCCUCUGUUUAAUGGAAUAUUCUUGAGGGAGAGAGAGAGACACACACAGGAACAGUUUUGGGGAGUGCUAGCGCAUAUGUGAAAAAAGUUAUAUAAAAACCUCCUGAAGGUCCAGAGGGAGCUGUCUGAAGUCUGACAAGAAGUUGGUUGUUUCUGAAGAGUUGAAAAUGGAAAUGAAUAAAAAGUGAGAGGAGUUAGGAAGAAGUGAGCUUCCCAGACCACUAUAGCCCACCCGUAAUGUCUGCUUGGGGCUAUAUUAUACUACACAUCCGUAUCUCUGACAAAGCUGUUGGUGGUCAAGUUGCAUUGUGGGUAAUGUAGGCACCAAAAGAACAAAAUCUCUGAUUCUGCAACUUUAAUAUAGCUUAUUUUCCUACCUGUCCAUCAGGAGUCCAAUAAUGUUAUAGAAGUACAAUUCUAUCUGUGCUGUCCUUUAAUUUUUUGAUUUAUAAAAUCAUGACUUACUUAAAAUGUCAUCACCCAAGCAUCCAACGUCACCGCCAAAGUGCAGAAAUUGUCUAGCUCCCAAGUAAUGCAUUAUAUGGACAUAUGGGUUUGUUUUUGUUUUUGCUGGGAAGCAGGACACAUACAUUUGCCAUAAUGUAACUUGUGUUAUGAGGCACAGGAAGCCAUUCGUUGCUGAAAAAACAGCGGCAUUCACCUUUAUAUUCUUGUUCCUAAGGUGAAAAUUGAGUUUUACAUUUUCUAAGCGUUUAGCAGUUGACACCUAGUGCCUUUAGGGAGUGUUUGCGAAUUUCAAAGUACAACCAUAUGUCUCCUAAGUGAGCGGUAUCCCCACGUGUCUUUCAUUUUUUCCUAGUAACCCCUCCUCUGGGAUUUUUACAACCACAUCCAACCUCAUUAUAAGUAAGGAUGACAUCAUGUGCAGUCCUUUUUCUCUCCCUGAAGGCCCAGUGUGGAACAAGCGUUACUAGGAUCACUGAUGAACAGGAGAGUUAGUCCUAUAGGCCAGCCUGUGCACAUCUGUGCAUCUGUUUUGAUGGGGAAAAAAACAUUAUGUAAGUCAGUCAUCAGUCAUUCAAUUGAUAUUUAAAUGUCAUCAAACUUGUAAUCCAAAUAAAUAAUUGUCUA